rnacentral:rRNA from 1 species
GAUGAACGCUGGCGGCGCGCCUAACACAUGCAAGUCGAACGAUUAAAGCACCUUCGGGUGUGUAUAAAGUGGCGAACGGCUGAGUAACACGUGGGCAACCUGCCCCUCUCAUUGGGAUAGCCACGGGAAACCGUGGAUAAUACCGAAUACUUCGGGACUUCCGCAUGGAAGACUCGAGAAAGCUCCGGCGGAGAGGGAUGGGCCCGCGGCCUGUUAGCUUGUUGGUGGGGUAAUGGCCUACCAAGGCAAUGAUGGGUAGCUGGGUUGAGAGACCGACCAGCCAGAUUGGGACUGAGACACGGCCCAGACUCCUACGGGAGGCAGCAGUGGGGAAUCUUGCACAAUGGGCGAAAGCCUGAUGCAGCGACGCCGCGUGCGGGAUGAAGGCCUUCGGGUUGUAAACCGCUUUCAGCAGGGACGAGGCGAAAGUGACGGUAACUGCAGAAGAAGCCCCGGCUAACUACGUG